rnacentral:rRNA from 1 species
UGACAUAAGUAACGAUAAAGCGGGUGAAAAGCCCGCUCGCCGGAAGACCAAGGGUUCCUGUCCAACGUUAAUCGGGGCAGGGUGAGUCGACCCCUAAGGCGAGGCCGAAAGGCGUAGUCGAUGGGAAACAGGUUAAUAUUCCUGUACUUGGUGUUACUGCGAAGGGGGGACGGAGAAGGCUAUGUUGGCCGGGCGACGGUUGUCCCGGUUUAAGCGUGUAGGCUGGUUUUCCAGGCAAAUCCGGAAAAUCAAGGCCGAGGCGUGAUGACGAGGCACUACGGUGCUGAAGCAACAAAUGCCCUGCUUCCAGGAAAAGCCUCUAAGCAUCAGGUAACAUCAAAUCGUACCCCAAACCGACACAGGUGGUCAGGUAGAGAAUACCAAGGCGCUUGAGAGAACUCGGGUGAAGGAACUAGGCAAAAUGGUGCCGUAACUUCGGGAGAAGGCACGCUGAUACGUAGGUGAAGCGACUUGCUCGUGGAGCUGAAAUCAGUCGAAGAUACCAGCUGGCUGCAACUGUUUAUUAAAAACACAGCACUGUGCAAACACGAAAGUGGACGUAUACGGUGUGACGCCUGCCCGGUGCCGGAAGGUUAAUUGAUGGGGUUAGCGCAAGCGAAGCUCUUGAUCGAAGCCCCGGUAAACGGCGGCCGUAACUAUAACGGUCCUAAGGUAGCGAAAUUCCUUGUCGGGUAAGUUCCGACCUGCACGAAUGGCGUAAUGAUGGCCAGGCUGUCUCCACCCGAGACUCAGUGAAAUUGAACUCGCUGUGAAGAUGCAGUGUACCCGCGGCAAGACGGAAAGACCCCGUGAACCUUUACUAUAGCUUGACACUGAACAUUGAGCCUUGAUGUGUAGGAUAGGUGGGAGGCUUUGAAGUGUGGACGCCAGUCUGCAUGGAGCCGACCUUGAAAUACCACCCUUUAAUGUUUGAUGUUCUAACGUGGACCCGUGAUCCGGGUUGCGGACAGUGUCUGGUGGGUAGUUUGACUGGGGCGGUCUCCUCCUAAAGAGUAACGGAGGAGCACGAAGGUUGGCUAAUCCUGGUCGGACAUCAGGAGGUUAGUGCAAUGGCAUAAGCCAGCUUGACUGCGAGCGUGACGGCGCGAGCAGGUGCGAAAGCAGGUCAUAGUGAUCCGGUGGUUCUGAAUGGAAGGGCCAUCGCUCAACGGAUAAAAGGUACUCCGGGGAUAACAGGCUGAUACCGCCCAAGAGUUCAUAUCGACGGCGGUGUUUGGCACCUCGAUGUCGGCUCAUCACAUCCUGGGGCUGAAGUAGGUCCCAAGGGUAUGGCUGUUCGCCAUUUAAAGUGGUACGCGAGCUGGGUUUAGAACGUCGUGAGACAGUUCGGUCCCUAUCUGCCGUGGGCGCUGGAGAACUGAGGGGGGCUGCUCCUAGUACGAGAGGACCGGAGUGGACGCAUCACUGGUGUUCGGGUUGUCAUGCCAAUGGCACUGCCCGGUAGCUAAAUGCGGAAGAGAUAAGUGCUGAAAGCAUCUAAGCACGAAACUUGCCCCGAGAUGAGUUCUCCCUGACCCUUUAAGGGUCCUGAAGGAACGUUGAAGACGACGACGUUGAUAGGCCGGGUGUGUAAGCGCAGCGAUGCGUUGAGCUAACCGGUACUAAUGAACCGUGAGGCUUAACCUUACAACGCCGAAG